rnacentral:lncRNA from 12 species
UGGCAGGAAGGCAGCUCCCAGCUGAUCCUCAGGGACGGGACAUGUUGCAGAUCCGAAAAGAACCCUGAGUCACCUCGCCUGGUGUAUUGGGAGAAACACUGGACCCAGAGCCAGAGGACCAAGGCACAGUCCUGCCUCUUCAACUUCCGGUGUGACCUUGGGGUGAGUCACUCAAUCUCUCUGACCCUCUGUACCUCAUUAGUAAAAUGGGGGCUGUUGUAAAGAUCAAACAAGUUAACUGCUAUAAAACUGGAAGCCCAGUGCAUGGUGUGGGGGUGCAAGAAGCAGGGAAUGAGGCAAGACUCAAAGAUUACCGAGUGUGGUCAAGGCCCUCAGGUCACUUAAAAGACAUUCCCUCAAGAGCAAAGAGAAAAGACAUCCCAUCAAGGACGAAGAGCGGAGACAUCCCAUCAAGAGCAAAGGAGAAGUGAUGGAAGAGUUGAGUGUCAAACCCCAGCAACGUCAUCACAUUUAAUCCUUCUGAGGCCUGUGAGUGCGGGUCAUUGUUCCCAUUUACUGUCAAGAGGAUGGAGGCAAGGAGCAGAGGUGGCCUGUGAAUUGCUGGAGGGCAUGAGUGCUUUGCACCGGUGAGUGCCCACACUCGCCUGCUCCCCAGCCCCUCCUCUUUGCCCUCUAUCCCUUGACCCCUCAGAAAUCAACUCUGUGUUUUUUUAUUUUUUUAGGACAGCAAUGAUUUGUGCAGCAAGUUGGGAAGGUCCCCAGGGGACUGGCCAGGCACAGGGAAGGAAGCCAGUCCCUGCCCUGGUGGCUUCCUGAAGGUGGUUGUGACUGUGCUGGGGUCACGACCCCCCUAAGGAUGACAGGCAAGAUGAAGAGCUGACCCCUGACUUCCCUGAGCUCAGCCAGGUUGGCUUCCCGCUGCCUCCUGCAGGGCGAUCACUCCAGAACUCUCUCUUACCCACAAGGCCCCUAGCCGCUCCCUUUCCUGAGAGCAGGAUGUUUCUGAAUCUCUCAGUAAUUUUCCUUCUCAGAGUGAGACAGAGCAGGGCCUGGACUAGGGUCCCCUCAACCCUGACCACCAAAUCCAGCAUUCUUUGGCUGUCUCCCUAAGGGAAAAAAAAAAAAAAAGCUAAAACUCUCUGCCCUUGAGCAGCGGGAAUGUAGGGGCAGGAUGCUUGCAGUCGGGAGGGACCAGACUGUGAAGACUGGUGAAGACCAACCAGUCUGUGCCGAGAAGGACCCCAGUACUGACUUUCACCAACAUUCCCCCUUAUUAUAUUACUAAAAAUCAUGCCGGGGGUGGAGAUUUUUUUUAAAGAUUAAAAAAAAAUUUUAUUCAUGAAAGACACACAGAGAGGCAGAGACACAGGCAGAGGGAGAAGCAGGCUCCAUGCAGGGAGCCCGAUGUGGGACUCGAUCCCGGGUCUCCAGGAUCACGACCCUGGCCACGACCCUGGCCGAAGGCGGCGCUAAACUGCUGGGCCACCGGGGCUGCCCUCCCACCCAAGUGUCUCGAAGAAAUUUUCCCUAACCUCUCCUUGGGGAUCAGCUUAAGGAUUCUUUCCCUUGGGCUUGAGCAUAAGCCCCAAUAAAGCCUUGCCCAGA